AUUGUUUUGGCAAGCUAGGAGAACACAUCUGACAGACAAAAAGGUUUCAUCAAAGACACACAGACAGCUCCUGAAGUAAAGGACCUACACAGGACCUUCAUAUCAAGGACAUUGACUGUGUGGAUCUCGAGGUGCAGUUACCCAAAAGUUGCUACCCACGGAAUACCAGGUUUUGAGGGAUCCUGCCAGAGCAGAGAAUCAACAGAUACAUUGAAGAGGAGACUCCGACAUGACCGCCGGCAUCUUGUGUUAUUCACCCCCACCACUUGUAAUACUGAAUGCCUGAAUUGUUGUUUGCUGCUCAGACUUUGUCAACAGAUAUGGUCUUCGACAUGUUACCCUUAGGUGUGGAAACAGAUUGUGACAGUCCAGCAAAAUGAGCCAGACAGAUAGUAACACUGAAAAAGGACAACGUUGUUCCCAUGGCCUCCCACUGCAGAAGACUACAGACGUUCAGUGAAGCACAAACAGCUGUUCCUCUUGUACUUAAUAAUUUAGUCAGCUGGAUUCUAGGUGCCACUAAGGAGCCAACAGUGGA